rnacentral:other from 1 species
UAGCCCCUGCACGGUUCGAUUUGUUGCAGCUUUAUAUAAUCCUACUAAUCAAAUUCAGGGAGCCUGGCGUCGGCCGCCGGAUUGCAGACCUCCCGCCGCUGGCGGAGGAAGGGAGCGUGAAAGCGUCCGCAGGGCACCCACCUGCCAAACGGUAGGUUUUGAUUGGCUGCAGACGGCCGCGCGGGGGUUGU